AUGCUCGCGUAUAUGGAUGAGGAGGAGGAGGAGCCGGAGCCCUCCUACGUGCCCGUCCACCCGGCACCGACGCCGUGGAGAUCUCCGACGACGAAUCUACACAGGCCUCAUUCUUGUGUUUGGUACAGUACACAGGCCUCAUUCUCGUUCCCACCGAAGGAAUAUUCGGCCCAGAUCCGUAACGAGUCGUUCGUCCAAAUCGAGCCACAGCGCCCCGCGUCUCUCCCUCACAUCCGGCAGGCCGUGAGGCGGCGGCGGAUCGAUUCCAAGCCUGCUCCCAACCUCGCCGCCGGCGCACUCGCAGCUGCCGCUGGCGGCGAAGACCGGAUCGUGGCCGUCUCAUCCCCUUCCCGUCGGAUCCGACAAGGUCCAGCGACGUACGGCGGCAGAAAAGGUCGAUUAGAUCUGGCCAUGGCAGCUCCGGCGGCCAAUGCCGCGCCUGACUGGAGGCAGGUGUUCAACGCAUCCAAGGCGUCUAUCUUCUUCGUCGAGUUCCAGCCCAAGCCGGGGGAGAAGGUAAAGGAGUCCAUCCUGGAGAUCGCCACGAAAGCUGGGAGCAAGGAGGGAGACGCCCUGACCCAAGCCUGCGACGCUCCAUCCCACUGCGCCACCGGCUUCGCGUCCGCCGUCGUCGAGGAGGGCCAGAUCCUCAUCGCCACAACGGCGCAUAUCGUGGAGCACAUGUACCGUUCGCCCGCGCAGCCGGACUGCAUCCGCAGAGGGGCGAGGAGAGAGGAAGAUGGAGCCUACUUCCCGGCGGUGAUCUCCUCGAUUGACUGCGCCAAGGACCUGCUGAUGCUGAGGGCAGAUGUUGGCGACAUUGCACUGAGGUUCAGGACAGUGGGGAGGGGCAUAAACAGACGGCGGCAGACGGUGGUGUGUGAAACGCCGCACCCGACCCUGGAGAUCAGCACAGAUCUGGAUACAACCGGCCCUUGCAUGCUGCUCUCCUGGCCCGAUGACCUUGUCCACACUCACUACCAGGGAUAUCAAGGCCUGACCAGAUUCGUGGGAAACAUCAGCAAGAAUGUGCCCGGGUACGACAUGCAACUCCUGGAAGCGCAGAUUGGAAGCACCAUGGGCUCGUCCGGUGGCCCCCUCCUCAACCUCUCUGGCCAAGUCAUCGGCAUCCUUCAUGGCGGCUUCAACGGCCCGCACUCCUUCUUUGUGUCAGCGCAGCACGUGCGUGAUUUCCUCAUUACCGCACGCCAGGAUGCUAUCCGCGAGACUGCUGAUCACCUGCCAGUUGCCGCUAAUCAGAAUUUGACUCUCCGCCGUGGUCCUCGCAAACCUCGCAUUGCUGCACAGUAUAACUAGCAGUAUGUUAAUGCAAUCCCUACCCUAGCAAGAUGUACCCUCUUCCUUAGUUAGCCCUGGAGGUUUCCUGCAAGAAGCGCGACUCAAGUGGAGAAGAUUAAAACAACUCCAGUCUUGUAACAAGUGUGUGUUUGUGGUGCUCCCUUUUGUUAAGAUGCUUAUAGAACUUUUAGUCCUUGUCCUAAAACUGUAUGAGACAUGUCGUUUCACUCUGGGUAGUUUUGAGCUGUAACGCCUCUUUUGCUAGAACCUGUUUCAGGUCUGGCCUUUCGGGCCACGCUGUUUGACUAAAAAAGGAAUGUGAUAAACACUUGUAUACAGUUU
rnacentral:rRNA from 1 species